GAUGAACGCUGGCGGCGUGCUUAACACAUGCAAGUCGAACGAGAAGUGGAGACGGAAACCUUCGGGCGGAAGACUUUAUUUCGAGUGGCGGACGGGUGAGUAACGCGUGGGUAACCUGCCUCAUACAGGGGGAUAACAGUUGGAAACGACUGUUAAUACCGCAUAAGAUCACAGCACCGCAUGGUGCGGGGGUAAAAACUCCGGUGGUAUGAGAUGGACCCGCGUUCGAUUAGCCAGUUGGCGGGGUAACGGCCCACCAAAGCGACGAUCGAUAGCCGAUCUGAGAGGAUGACCGGCCACAUUGGGACUGAGACACGGCCCAAACUCCUACGGGAGGCAGCAGUGGGGAAUAUUGCACAAUGGGGGAAACCCUGAUGCAGCGACGCCGCGUGAGUGAAGAAGUAUUUCGGUAUGUAAAGCUCUAUCAGCAGGGAAGAAAAUGACGGUACCUGAGUAAGAAGCCCCGGCUAACUACGUG
rnacentral:rRNA from 1 species